rnacentral:tRNA from 1 species
GCCCUUUUCUUUUAACUCAGCGGUAGAGUAAUGACAUGGUAAGGCGUAAGCCCUCGGUUCAAAUCCGAUAAGGGGCU